UCCCUAAUGGUCCAGUGGCUAAGACUCCAUGCUUCCAAUGCACAGAGCCCAGGUUCAAUCCCUGGUUAGGGAA
rnacentral:tRNA from 1 species